rnacentral:rRNA from 1 species
GGCGACCAUAGCAAGAGUGAACCACCUGAUCCCUUCCCGAAAUCAGAAGUGAAACCUCUUAGCGCUGAUGGUAGUGUGGGAUUACCCAUGUGAGAGUAAGUCAUCGCCAGCU